rnacentral:lncRNA from 1 species
AAAGAUCUAGUGAUUCUAGUGAUGAGCCUGUCAAGGGUAUACAUUUUGGAGACAGUGAAGAAUACAAGAUAAAUUGAUUUGAUGAAGGUUUUGAUGAGGGUUUAAAUGAUGGUUAACCAAGAAUAUAAGAUAAAUUGAUUUGAUGAAGGUUUUGAUGAGGGUUUAAAAGAUCUAGUGAUUCAUGUAGAUGACGCUGCCACAAGUGAGCACUACUACGAAUAAUAUUUUUCAUGACAAAACUUUCACCCUCAAUCAACCAAAAACCGAGGUAUAUGUCCUG